AGAGAGCUGUUCCCACCCGGGAUCUCUCCCCAACCCCACCCUAAAGUCCAGGAGAGAGCAGUUGAGCCCCUGUGAGGUCAGGAAGUAAGCCAGGAGUCCCCCAGCCCUGGAAUCUGGGCGUCCUGUCUCCUGCCCUUCUGUGAGAACUACUCUGGGAAAUCUGGGUGAAAAGGGUUCCCUGGCAUUUGGGGUCUUUAAAAAAUAAAGAAAACAGAGUAUCAGUUUAACUAGGCUGCUUGAACUCACUAGAUUACCAAAGCUGGCACCUACUUUUACCACCCUGGCACGGAAGUUCUGGGUUUGUGGGAAUACCCUACCACAUCUGGCUGGUCUAAGAAACACCCGGUUAGAUGGGCUAACCAGUCUGGCCAGCAGGACCCUUCCAUUCCCAGGAUCCUAUUUGCCUGGUCUGUCCAGGCUACAGCACCACCACCCCGCCCGCCUUCCUACACCACAUUCUGCAAACCACAGACUGCCAAAGGGUGCUCACAGCCCAGUACUGUCCUUUCCUACAGACCCCAGAAUUCCCUGGGACAGGCAGAGCACUGCAGGCCUCAGGAAAUAACAAAGAAUGAAGAACAGAGGCCAAGGCAGAAAAGGGAACCCGAGAACAGAGGAGAGGACUGUGACGGGCUCUGCAAAGGGCGAUGAAGAACAAGGCAAGUUGUACGAGAGUUUAACAGUGCGAGAUGGGCGCCCAGAAAGACGGAGUCUAAGAGAGAGUGUGAACAGCUAUAGUUGAUGGGAAGAACAGUGCCAUUGGGCAGAAGAAAACUGGAGAACUCCGUGCUAGCAGGCCGUCUCCAGGCUGUGAUAAGGAUGGAUACCACCAAGGGAGUGUUCAUUUCCAGAGUCUUCCAGCUGAAGUUCCAUGGGCCGCUCUCCUUGGGCUGGCAGGUCACAGGCCUGUCGCUGAACCAAGACUUCAGUCAGGAGAAUAAUAAAAUGCUGUCAUUUGAGCUAGAGUUCCUGGGAAAGGGGGAGGGAGUCAGGCCUACC